rnacentral:rRNA from 1 species
GAGGCGACCGGCCACACUGGGACUGAGACACGGCCCAGACUCCUACGGGAGGCAGCAGUGGGGAAUAUUGCACAAUGGGGGAAACCCUGAUGCAGCGACGCCGCGUGAGGGAUGACGGCCUUCGGGUUGUAAACCUCUUUCAGUAGGGAAGAAGCGAAAGUGACGGUACCUGCAGAAGAAGUGCCGGCUAACUACGUGCCAGCAGCCGCGGUAAUACGUAGGGUACAAGCGUUGUCCGGAAUUAUUGGGCGUAAAGAGCUCGUAGGUGGUUGGUCACGUCUGCCGUGAAAACCCAACGCUCAACCUCGGGCGUGCGGUGGGUACGGGCAGGCUAGAGUGUGGUAGGGGAGACUGGAAUUCCUGGUGUAGCGGUGAAAUGCGCAGAUAUCAGGAGGAACACCGGUGGCGAAGGCGGGACUCUGGGCUGUAACUGACACUGAGGAGCGAAAGCAUGGGGAGCGAACAGGAUUAGAUACCCUGGUAGUCCAUGCCGUAAACGUUGGGCACUAGGUGUGGGGGACAUUCCACGUUCUCCGCGUCGUAGCUAACGCAUUAAGUGCCCCGCCUGGGGAGUACGGGAUC